AGAAAGUGCUAGGCACGUAGGCGUUCAGGAGACAGUCACGGUACUCGUUUCCAGACAGAAGUCAUGAGGAACAAGAGGGAAGGUGCUUUCCCGUGUGCAGCGCUUGGGGAGACUCACACAGACAGAGGAUCUGGCAUGACAGGGAAAGGAGGAAAUGGCUUCUGUUAAUCUCUCCUUCAGCUUCUCCCGCCCUUCCCAUGCACUCUUCCUGUUUCCCUUUCCAGUUCUCACGGUGACUCAAGGUAGGUGGCUGCAGAGAGACAUUGGGACCUCUUACCAGGGAAAAUAUGUUCUGUAAUCUGGCAUAAUUUAAGUUUUAAGUCCCAUUUUAUCAUAGGGGUUCCCCUCCCCUUUACCUAGGUGUGAUAGGCACAAGAAAAAGGAAUGGAGUUAAGUGGAUAAGUGACUAAGGUGUCACAUUGGAGUAGUGUGGAUCAUAGAUCUCAGAGCUGAAGAUCAUCUAGGUGGACUCCCUCAUAUUAAAGAAGAAGCAGUGAAAAACUGUGAAAGGCAAAAUGACAUCAAGUUUCAGACUCAAGUUGGAGCCAUGGUGUUCUGUAGCACCAUAGUUCAUUCAUCCACUCAUACACACUACUCUGGGUGGAUAUCUGAUAUACUGCCAGGUACAAGGUUCUGCCUCAGUAGGCAGGGAAAGGGGAAAGGAAAUAGAAAUCCGGGAGGAUUCUCGGGUUCUUUGUGCAGCUUCAUGGAUGUUGAUACCAUUUACUGUGAUUGCAAGUAGAGGAACAGAAAUGGACCUGAGAGGAAGAUGGCAUGUUUUGAACAUGGGUUUGAGGUGGCUGUAGGACAUCCAGGUGGAGACCUCCAGGAAGAGUUAGGAACAUGAGUUCCAAGCACAGGAGAGAGGCCUGGAGGUGCCCACUGGGGAACAGUCAACUUAAAGAUGGUCACUGAAGCCAAGGCAGGGCUGGGAUGGCCCAGAAGAGCAGGCAGAAUGAAAAGACUAUGAAAGCAUGAAACCCAAACCUGACAGAUACCAGAUCCUAAGGAUCAAAUAAGAGAUCCUGAGGAACAGAUGGA
rnacentral:lncRNA from 10 species